rnacentral:rRNA from 1 species
UACGAAGGUGGCAAGCGUUGUUCGGAUUUACUGGGCGUACAGGGAGCGUAGGCGGUUGGGUAAGCCCUCCGUGAAAUCUCCGGGCCUAACCCGGAAAGUGCGGAGGGGACUGCUCGGCUAGAGGAUGGGAGAGGAGCGCGGAAUUCCCGGUGUAGCGGUGAAAUGCGUAGAUAUCGUAAGGAAGACCAGUGGCGAAGGCAGCCUCCUGGGCCAGCACUGACGCUCAUGCACGAAAGCGUGGGGAGCAAACAGG